GUUAUAUGGUCAAGUGAAGAAGCGCAUACGGUGGAUGCCUUGGCAGUCAGAGGCGAUGAAAGACGUGGUAGCCUGCGAAAAGCUUCGGGGAGUCGGCAAACAGACUUUGAUCCGGAGAUGUCUGAAUGGGGGAACCCAGCCAUCAUAAGAUGGUUAUCUUGUACUGAAUACAUAGGUGCAAGAGGCGAACCAGGGGAACUGAAACAUCUAAGUACCCUGAGGAAAAGAAAUCAACCGAGAUUCCCUUAGUAGUGGCGAGCGAACGGGGACUAGCCCUUAAGUGGCUUUGAGAUUAGCGGAACGCUCUGGAAAGUGCGGCCAUAGUGGGUGAUAGCCCUGUACGCGAAAAUCUCUUAGUCAUGAAAUCGAGUAGGACGGAGCACGAGAAACUUUGUCUGAAUAUGGGGGGACCAUCCUCCAAGGCUAAAUACUACUGACUGACCGAUAGUGAACUAGUACCGUGAGGGAAAGGCGAAAAGAACCCCGGAGAGGGGAGUGAAAUAGAUCCUGAAACCGUAUGCGUACAAGCAGUGGGAGCCCACUUUGUUGGGUGACUGCGUACCUUUUGUAUAAUGGGUCAGCGACUUAUUUUCAGUGGCGAGCUUAACCGAAUAGGGGAGGCGUAGCGAAAGCGAGUCUUAAUAGGGCGUCUAGUCGCUGGGAAUAGACCCGAAACCGGGCGAUCUAUCCAUGGGCAGGUUGAAGGUUGGGUAACACUAACUGGAGGACCGAACCGACUACCGUUGAAAAGUUAGCGGAUGACCUGUGGAUCGGAGUGAAAGGCUAAUCAAGCUCGGAGAUAGCUGGUUCUCCUCGAAAGCUAUUUAGGUAGCGCCUCAUGUAUCACUGUAGGGGGUAGAGCACUGUUUCGGCUAGGGGGUCAUCCCGACUUACCAAACCGAUGCAAACUCCGAAUACCUACAAGUGCCGAGCAUGGGAGACACACGGCGGGUGCUAACGUCCGUCGUGAAAAGGGAAACAACCCAGACCGUCAGCUAAGGUCCCAAAGUUAUGGUUAAGUGGGAAACGAUGUGGGAAGGCUUAGACAGCUAGGAGGUUGGCUUAGAAGCAGCCACCCUUUAAAGAAAGCGUAAUAGCUCACUAGUCGAGUCGGCCUGCGCGGAAGAUGUAACGGGGCUCAAACCAUACACCGAAGCUACGGGUAUCACGUAAGUGAUGCGGUAGAGGAGCGUUCUGUAAGCCUGUGAAGGUGAGUUGAGAAGCUUGCUGGAGGUAUCAGAAGUGCGAAUGCUGACAUGAGUAACGACAAUGGGUGUGAAAAACACCCACGCCGAAAGACCAAGGUUUCCUGCGCAACGUUAAUCGACGCAGGGUUAGUCGGUCCCUAAGGCGAGGCUGAAAAGCGUAGUCGAUGGAAAACAGGUUAAUAUUCCUGUACUUCUGGUUAUUGCGAUGGAGGGACGGAGAAGGCUAGGCCAGCUUGGCGUUGGUUGUCCAAGUUUAAGGUGGUAGGCUGGAAUCUUAGGUAAAUCCGGGAUUCUAAGGCCGAGAGCUGAUGACGAGCUAACUUUCAGUUAGCGAAGUGGUUGAUGCCAUGCUUCCAAGAAAAGCUUCUAAGCUUCAGGUAACCAGGAACCGUACCCCAAACCGACACAGGUGGUUGGGUAGAGAAUACCAAGGCGCUUGAGAGAACUCGGGUGAAGGAACUAGGCAAAAUGGCACCGUAACUUCGGGAGAAGGUGCGCCGGUGAGGGUGAAGGACUUGCUCCGUAAGCCCAUGCCGGUCGAAGAUACCAGGCCGCUGCGACUGUUUAUUAAAAACACAGCACUCUGCAAACACGAAAGUGGACGUAUAGGGUGUGACGCCUGCCCGGUGCCGGAAGGUUAAUUGAUGGGGUUAGCUAACGCGAAGCUCUUGAUCGAAGCCCCGGUAAACGGCGGCCGUAACUAUAACGGUCCUAAGGUAGCGAAAUUCCUUGUCGGGUAAGUUCCGACCUGCACGAAUGGCGUAACGAUGGCGGCGCUGUCUCCACCCGAGACUCAGUGAAAUUGAAAUCGCUGUGAAGAUGCAGUGUAUCCGCGGCUAGACGGAAAGACCCCGUGAACCUUUACUAUAGCUUUGCACUGGACUUUGAAUUUGCUUGUGUAGGAUAGGUGGGAGGCUUUGAAGCGUGGACGCCAGUCUGCGUGGAGCCAACCUUGAAAUACCACCCUGGCAACUUUGAGGUUCUAACUCAGGUCCGUUAUCCGGAUCGAGGACAGUGUAUGGUGGGUAGUUUGACUGGGGCGGUCUCCUCCUAAAGAGUAACGGAGGAGUACGAAGGUGCGCUCAGACCGGUCGGAAAUCGGUCGUAGAGUAUAAAGGCAAAAGCGCGCUUGACUGCGAGACAGACACGUCGAGCAGGUACGAAAGUAGGUCUUAGUGAUCCGGUGGUUCUGUAUGGAAGGGCCAUCGCUCAACGGAUAAAAGGUACUCCGGGGAUAACAGGCUGAUACCGCCCAAGAGUUCAUAUCGACGGCGGUGUUUGGCACCUCGAUGUCGGCUCAUCACAUCCUGGGGCUGAAGCCGGUCCCAAGGGUAUGGCUGUUCGCCAUUUAAAGUGGUACGCGAGCUGGGUUUAGAACGUCGUGAGACAGUUCGGUCCCUAUCUGCCGUGGACGUUUGAGAUUUGAGAGGGGCUGCUCCUAGUACGAGAGGACCGGAGUGGACGAACCUCUGGUGUUCCGGUUGUCACGCCAGUGGCAUUGCCGGGUAGCUAUGUUCGGAAUAGAUAACCGCUGAAAGCAUCUAAGCGGGAAACUAGCCUCAAGAUGAGAUCUCACUGGAACCUUGAGUUCCCUGAAGGGCCGUCGAAGACUACGACGUUGAUAGGUUGGGUGUGUAAGCGCUGUGAGGCGUUGAGCUAACCAAUACUAAUUGCCCGUGAGGCUUGACCAUAUAACACCCAAGCAAUU
rnacentral:rRNA from 1 species